CUUGCAGAUGGCUGUCUUCUUGCUGUGUCCUCACGUGGUGGAAAAGGGUUGAAAAGAAGAAUAGGACAAGGAGAAGUUAGAAGCUCCCUUGGUCAUCAGGAGAAUUAAGGUCAGACCAAGAGCUGCAAAUGAAACAGAUAUCCAUGAGUUCGGGUGUUUAAGAAACAAGCUAGAAGAGUCUACCAAGAAGAUUCCUGGGGUACAAUGCCAAGUGCACCCCCACUAAAGUGCACAGAGAUGGCCCUCGCCAGAGUUAUCAUCAUUUUCAUCAUGGUCACCAUUUAUUGAAAGCUCGCUGUCUACUUGGCACUGCAUUAAGAGGAGGAAAA